AUCACCAAUUUCUUUUUGAAUGAAAUUGAAAUAAAUAAUUAUCUUAACAAGUACUCUGUAAAAUAAAAAAUGUAAUAAAAAUAAAAUAAAUAAUUAUCUUAACAACCUCUGAUGCCUUGCUGACGUAGUGACUACCAACCGACUCAACUUUCUUCUUGCAGUCGAGAAUCUCUGGAUCGUUCGCUCCCUCCCUCCCUCUCUCCGUCAAUUUCAGAUUUCAGAAUCGACUCGGUUUCUGAUGCUAUGGAGAACGCCGCUCCAGUUCCUCAAUCUGCUCCUCCUCCUUUUUCUUCAAAUCCCUCAGAUUCCCGCAACCGCCAACCACCGCAUCUCCGCUACUUGCAUUGCACCUGCUUCCGCCGCUGCUGCCGCUGUUUCUGCUGCUUCUACGCCUAAUCCUCACUCCUUUGCUACCAUAAACCUCUAGUUUGUUUGCUUAUGAGGAUGCAAUUCCAAUGCUGGGGAAAGCUACUUGAUUUCCUGAUGAGUUAUGCUCAAAUGAAGUGUCCACUGCUACAAAGGUGGAAUUCCAGGAUGAUUCACCACAAAACCCUAACAUCACUCUUUUCAUCCAGCCCCCAAUCAGCCCAAAGUAGCAGGAUGUGGUAGUCUCUAUUUUUACAAAGUAGCUGUAGGUCCACUAAGAAAAACAUUAAUGGCUGUCUAGGCUGGUCACUGGUGCUAUUAAGGAAACCUAUAUUGGCAACACCUCAUAUUCAGUUCAAUGAAGAAUUGAAGAUUAUGUAGGCUACUUGAGUCUUAAAAUUUAUUUAUCCUGUCCAUCAGGAGCUGUUUGAUGCAGAAUUUUCUCAAAAGUCCAUUUUUGAAUGGAGUAGCCAAAUAGUUGAAAAGGCCUGUAGGGUACGGGGUAACAAGGCUCCACGAGUUGCUUUCUACUAUGCAACACCAGAUCUGACAUUUCAACAUUCUAAAGGAUUUAUUAAUGUGAUAAGCUUGAAGCCGGCAUUUAUUCUCUUUAUGAUCCUUAUCACGCACACCCUUCCCUGUCACCUUUCAUAGUUAUGGGGCGCCUCCAUCUACCAGUUUGUUUUUUGCUUGCCUGAUUUAAAAAUAAAAUAAAAUAAAAUAAACUGUGACUCGUUUUCUUGAUUAUACUGAGCAUUGAAUAGCUUGUGAUGUACAGCUGGUUUCAUGGACAGUUGGGAAUUGGGAUAACUUAGCUUGGUGUGUGAUGGAUGCUAAGAUUGUAACAGAAA